rnacentral:lncRNA from 1 species
UUAACCAAUAAAAUUGACAAAGACCAAUUCAAAGCCCAACCCCAAAUGACCAAACUCUCCAUUUCUCCAUAAUUUUGAUAUGGGUCAUGGCCACUUUUUUGUGCAUCACAUGUUUGAUAGAUUUGCAUACAUGGGUCUUAAAAUUUUGACCUAACCAAGAAGUCAUUAUCCACCUGGAUGUGAACUAAGCUUGGUCCAGUAUUCAAUUGGAUGGAUGCCAGGGGCCAUGUCUAUAGCAGCUGAAAGCCUGCAAUUUCACCUGUGUUCAUCAUUAGCCUUUAAAAUGGUAUCCACGCACACACCGUAUUCUUCAAGUUGGAUCCAAUAUUCUUUCCACAUGCAUAAAAAGAUGUAGGAAAUUUCUGGAAGCAAACUACCAUCCAAACAAAGGGUUAAUGGGUUACUUAUAUUUGAAGCUGGAGAUGAUUAAAAUAUGUAGAUUUGGAGGGGUAUUGUUCCUUAAAUCAAGGGUAAGAAAGAAAAGGAAGAAAGAGAUGAUAGUCAUUUAAGGGGGGCCCUAAACUCAUUGACUGUGGUGGUGGGGAAGACAAAGAGAACCACCCCAACGUGUGAAACAAAAAGGCCUCUCUUCUUGGCCCCCACAACCCCCCCCCUUCCCUUUGAAAAAACAAACAAUAUUAACGGGAAAUGCUCGUCGUCUUCUUGGGAACUCCCUUUUCUCUCUCUCUCUCUCUCUCCUUUCUCUAUCUAUUAAUUUCUAUGCUCUUUCUCUUCCUUUGAUUCUGCUCCUUUUCACUACUUCUGGUUUCACUUCAGUUUUACUAGCCAAAAGAAGAAGCGGAAAAGGCCAUGAAGAAGAAGAAGAAAUAUGGGACGGUGCUGCUGCUUAUGUACAAGGGCUUUGUGCAUGGGGUUUUUGAAUUUUCUUUUGCAGAAUGAGGCUCUCAUUCUAUGAUCUCUCAUGGGUUUUGCUUAGAGAAAGGAAUCGUUUCCGGCAAAGAAUUCAUUGGAGACUCUAGUUUCCGGCGUACAUGGGAAAGCCAGGCAUUGCUCUUCUUCUUCUUCUUCUUCUUCUUCUCCCCCUCCUCCUCCUUCCGUCGCUCUUUUUCUUUCCUUGAUAUGUAUUUUUUCUCUUUAUUUUUUCUUAAAUCAUGUAUUCAGACAACUUUACCAGAGAGAAGAAAAAAAAAACAUGUAAACUGCCUCUAGACCUUCUUCAAGGAAGAUUCACAGAAAUGAAAUAAGAUUUGACUGGUUUUGCCUGGUCUCUCUGUCCCAUUCUUCUGAUCAUUCAUCUCAGGCUUCUUCCUCAGUGAUUUCAUAUCGAAGUUUCUUUUUCUUCUUCUUCCUUCUUUGAUCUUUCAAUUUUCUAAACCCAACAUUUAAGAGUAUAUGUUGAAGGUC